rnacentral:lncRNA from 1 species
AACACUUAUCUCCAACCUCUUCUACAGAUAUUUCAGCUUAUAAUAUCUUUUAUUAUUCCUUAGAUUGUAGAGAUUAGUUGUUAUGUUAGUCUAAAUAAAUCCCUCGAAGAUAGGAGAUUUAUAGCUUGAUUGUUUAGGGUUUGUUAUUUCUCCUCUGUAUAUAUUCUUGUACACGAUGGUUAAUAGCAUGUUUUUCAAUAAUCCUUUGUAAUCUCUUCUAUAUGGUAUCAGAGCCUUUCUCACUCUCACGAGUAAUAUCUAUUUCUACCCACCACUCACCCAUGGCUACCACAACUCCUGCAACUAAUACCAUUCAAUUGGUUCAAUUUAAUCCGGCUUCCCAACUGCCUUUGAAACUCACAGGAGCUUCUAACUUUUCCAAUUGGAAGGCUCAAGUCUCCUCGCUCAUGUACGGACAUGACAUAUUUUCUUACCUUGAUGGCAGCACACCUGCUCCAGCCCCGACAACCACCACAAACAGUCAGGAGGUGCCCAAUCCACUAUAUAAACUUUGGUUUCGGCAGGACCAACUUAUUCGUAAUGCGUUGAUGGCCUCAGUAGAUCCGACCAUCACCUCCACCAUUGUUGCCGCUGCCACUUCCAAACAAGCAUGGGAAGCUCUUCACACACUCUACGCCAAUAAAUCUCAUACAAGAAUCUUCAGUCUCCGAAACUCCUUAACCAAAGUUUCGAAGGGUACAAAAUCCAUCGCUGAAUAUCUUCGAGAUAUUCGAAGCAUUGCCGAUGAACUUGCCACUGCUGGUGCGCCAACUACGACCGAAGAACUAGUCGUCAAAAUUUUGAGUGGCCUUACUUCCGAAUACGAAGCCAUUUCCGCUGCGAUUCAAGCACGUGACUCAGCCAUAUCCUAUGAGGAGCUAUUUGACAAACUCAUUAAUCAUGAGAUGUUUCUCAAACACAAUGAAGCUCAGAAACCUGUACCUCCUAUCACCGCUGUCGUCGCUCAAAGGGCCAACAACUCUUUCACAUCUUCUCGUAAUACUCGAAGAAGCUAUCCACAACAACAAGCAUGGCGCUCUCAGCCCAAUCGUAACCAAACAUGGAGAAAUUCAUCUUCUCAGUGGUCUCCAUCAUCUGCUCCACAACAAUUCUCACAGGUACAAUGCCAACUUUGUGAGAAACUUGGUCACACUGCACGUGUCUGUCGAUCCCGCUCACACAAUCAUAUGGAAGCAAAAGCCAAUUUCGUCUCCAAAUCUACCAAUACUCCGACAUCUCCAUGGAUCUUGGACUCCGGAGCAUCUCAUCAUUUGACUUCCGAACCUCGAGGUUUCACCAAUACCGACGAGUAUCAUGGAACGUCAGAAGUAGCAAUGGGUGAUGGUAACAUGAUCCCUAUAACUCACACUGGUUCUACUCAAUUAAGUGCAUCUAAUUUUACUUUCAAACUCUCUAACACAUUAUGUGCGCCUGCUAUCAAACAAAAUCUUAUCUCUGUCUCAAAAUUUUGCCAAUACAAUCUCACAUCUAUUGAUUUUUUUCCUUUCAAAUUUCUUGUGAAGGAUCUGAGUACGGGAACCCCACUAGUGUGCGGCAGGAGUAACGAUGGACUCUAUGAGUGGCCCAAUUUCAAUAAUCCAGUGUCUCUAAGUGCACUUACAACACAUCCUCUUGACUUGUGGCACCGUCGAUUGGGUCAUCCCAACUCUCGAACAUUGCAUUUUAUGUUGAAUAAAUUUUCCUUACCAUUCUCAGCUAAGGAAAAAUUUUAUUUUUGUAAUUCCUGUUCGUCGAAUAAAGUCCAUAGGCUUCCGUUUUAUCAAAAUACAUUGUCCAGUGAUGCCCCCCUUAAACGACUUUUCAGUAAUUUAUGGGGGCCAUCUCCUGUCCUAUCUAUUGAUAAAAAAUUAUACUACUGCAUUUUCGUCGAUCAAUUUACAAAAUAUGUCUGGCUUUAUACUCUCAAAACAAAAAAUGAGGUUCAAUCGAUAUUUCAAAAAUUUCAUCCCUUGGUUGAAAAUUUUUUCAAGACCAAAAUUGUGUCAUUAUAUACAGAUGGGGGUGGUGAGUUUCAAAGCCUAGGUCCUUAUCUUCAAUCUCAUGGCAUAGAACACCUUUUCUCUCCUCCUUAUACCCCACAAAGAGUUGCAAUUGCAGAACGCCGUCACCGGCAUAUUAUUGAAACGGCCAAAACAUUACUCUAUCAAGCCUCGUUGCCUUCUAAAUUUUGGUCGUUUGCCUGUCAUCAUGCAACCUUUCUAAUUAAUCGCCUACCUACCCCGAAUCUGCAAAAUCAAUCUCCAUAUAAGAAAUUAUUUGGAGAAGAUCCGAACUACCAAUCAUUGAGAGUUUUUGGUUGUCUUUGCUACCCGUGGUUGAAACCAUACACGAAAAACAAACUUGAGCCUCGCUCUAAACCUUGCAUAUAUCUCGGCUUCUCUGUUACUCACCAUUGUCAUCAAUGUUUUGAUCCAAAAACCUAUAAGUUAUUCUUGUCUCGAGAUGUCAAUUUUUUUGAAAAUAUUUUUCCGUAUGAAAAUAUUUUUCAGAACUUGAAAGAUGAUAUUUCAAACAAAGAUUGGGAUAUUGUUUUUCUUCAAAAUACACUCGAAAAAGAAAUUCCAUCUCCAUCCUUGUCGCUUGACAUACCACAGCCCAUAAUCAUUUCACAAGACUAUUUACGGCGCCACUCCGGAGCUCCGACAUUGCCACCAGUCAACACUAGUUCGGGACUCUCUCUACCAGGUAAUUCUACACCACCAUCAUCUAAUAUACCCCCACUCACAACCACCACAGCCACAAACCCAUAUAUUCCCACUCAUUUAAUAACUCACCAGCACCUUGUUUCAGCCUCUUCUUCAGCAUUACCCACAACCCAUAAUUCCAAUCCCAUCACCAUUGCUCCACCUACAGCCGAAAAUUCCAACCCACCCACCAUUGCUCCUCCAACUUCUUCUUUAUUACCCACAACCCAAAAUCCCAAAGCCUCUACAGCUGAACCAAGCCGUAUAACCACUCGAUCCCGAAAUAAAAUAUUUAAACCGAAACGAGUUUUUGACUUCACAACAAAACUUCCCCCCCUCAGCACUCCUAACACCCUUAAACAGGCUAUUCAAUUUCCUCAAUGGAGCGAUGCUAUGAAAGUAGAGUUUGAUGCAUUAUUGAACAAUCAAACAUGGGAGUUAGUACCACGGGAUCCCACACAAAAUAUUAUUGCUUGCAAAUGGUUGUUUCGAGUCAAGCAAAAACAAGAUGGUACAGUUGAUCGCUUCAAAGCGAGGUUAGUAGCUAAGGGCUUCACUCAAAGGGCCGGCAUCGAUUAUCACUCUACAUUCAGCCCAGUAGUUAAAGCUACUACGGUACGUCUUGUUUUGUCCAUUGCUGUCCAAAAUAACUGGCCUCUGCAUCAACUAGACAUUAACAAUGCAUUCCUCCAAGGACACUUGGAAGAGGAAGUGUUCAUGCAGCAGCCUCCUGGUUUUGAACAUGAAGAUUUGCCGAGCCAUGUGUGUCGCUUAAAAAAAGCCAUUUACGGUCUUAAACAAGCCCCGCGGGCAUGGUAUAUUGAGUUGACCAACUCGUUACAGCAAAUGGGGUUCAAAAAAUCGAAAUCUGAUAGCUCGCUCUUUAUUGCUCAUAGAACAAAUGUAUCUCUCUACAUUUUAGUCUAUGUUGAAGAUAUUAUUGUCACAGGGAGCAGCACAAAACUCAUUCGAGAGGUUAUCUCUACUCUCUCAAGUCGAUUUUCUCUCAAAGAUCUUGGUCUUCUUACGUAUUUUUUGGGCAUUGAAGUAUUUCGUAAACCUGCCGGCAUAUUUCUCUCGCAAUCUAAAUAUAUUAUGGAUAUUCUCCAUGAUUCCAAUAUGCAAGAUAGCAAAGGCGUUCUCACUCCGAUGAGUUCAAACCAAGUCCUCUUUGCCAAUGAUGGACAUGAACCGACAGAUGCCACCAACUACAGAAAAGUGAUUGGCAAGUUGCAAUACUUAUCUUUCACUCGGCCCGACAUCACGUAUUCUGUAAAUAAAUUGUCCCAAUUUAUGCACUCUCCAUCUGAAAAUCAUUGGAAAGCAGUGAAGCGAGUUCUCCGAUAUCUCCAACAUACAGCUACUUAUGGUCUUCAAAUAAACACUCAGAAUGACCGGAAUCUUUAUGUUUACUCAGACGCCGACUGGGCUGGUAACCCGAAUGAUCGCACAUCAACAACGGGAUUUCUUAUAUUUCUUGGAUCAAACCCCAUCAGCUGGUCUUCUAAAAAACAAAAAACGGUUGCCCGAUCAUCAACAGAGGCGGAGUAUAGGGCUGUUGCUACGGCAGUCACGGAAACUAAUUGGGUAAUGAACUUGCUACAAGAGCUUCAAGUAACACUCUUUCGACCACCGAAGAUUUUCUGUGAUAAUAUUGGGGCUACCUAUCACUGUCAAAAUCCUGUGUUGCAUAGUAAAAUGAAGCAUAUAGAAGUUGAUUUUUACUUUGUGCGAGAUCAAGUAGCAAAGAAUCAAGUCAUUGUGACUCAUAUACAUGCAGCAGACCAAUUGGCAGAUACACUUACGAAACCUCUUCCGAAGCCUGCUUUCCAUCGUCAUUUGUCCAAGUUAGGUGUCGUUCCUCAACACCCAACUUGAGGGGGGCGUAUUAACACUUAUCUCCAACCUCUUCUACAGAUAUUUCAGCUUAUAAUAUCUUUUAUUAUUCCUUAGAUUGUAGAGAUUAGUUGUUAUGUUAGUCUAAAUAAAUCCCUCGAAGAUAGGAGAUUUAUAGCUUGAUUGUUUAGGGUUUGUUAUUUCUCCUCUGUAUAUAUUCUUGUACACAGAUGGUUAAUAGCAUGUUUUUCAAUAAUCCUUUGUAAUCUCUUCUAUAC